rnacentral:rRNA from 1 species
GACGAACGCUGGCGGCGUGCCUAAUACAUGCAAGUCGAACGCACUCUCGUUUAGAUUGACGGAGUUUGCUCCUGAUUGAUAAACAUUUGAGUGAGUGGCGGACGGGUGAGUAACACGUGGGUAACCUGCCCUAAAGUGGGGGAUAACAUUUGGAAACAGAUGCUAAUACCGCAUAAAACCUAACACCGCAUGGUGUAGGGUUGAAAGAUGGUUUCGGCUAUCACUUUAGGAUGGACCCGCGGUGCAUUAGUUAGUUGGUGAGGUAAAGGCUCACCAAGACGUACAGGCAUAGCCGACGUGAGGGGGAAGUCGCCCACAGUGGGAAUGAGACAGGGCCCAGACUCCGAGGGGAGGGAGCAGUGGGGAAUCUUCCAAAAUGGACGAAAGUCUGAUGGAGCAACGCGGGGUGAGUAAAGAAGGUUUUCGUAUCGAAAAAUUUUGUUGUUGGAAAAGAAUGUAUCUGAUAGAAACUGAACGGGUGGUGAGGGUACCCAACAAAAAGACACCGGCUAACUACGUC